ensembl:lncRNA novel transcript
AACGAAUGGUGGAUAGGACUAUAAUAUUAAGAUUGCAUUUCUCUGGAAUGACCACAGCAAUAUUUCCAGCCCUUGAUGAUCUUCUAGAACUUUGCCACUUCCCUGCAUCAAGAGAGCCAUGGAGAAGAGGAGACAGAGUGUGCAAGGGAAUGAAGAAAAGGAACAAGACUAUUUUCAAAUCACCCAUGGCACUACUAGAAAUGUAUUUCAGCAAAAGGACUGGCUGAUUUUAUGAUUCCUGUGUCCACCACAGCCCUCUAAUUUUUACAUAGGUACCCCACAUCUCUCUAGAUUUCAGGAAGACUAUUAUCCUUCGACUUUAGCUUUCUGAUGGGUUCACAAAAAGCCAUUAGUGUGCUGUUGGUCCAGCUUUUUUCUGUUGCAAAUAUGAGAGCUACAGUUCUGAGAUGAAACCACAGGUAAGUGUUAUGAUUUUAAGUAACUGAAUACUAAAGUGAUGUAGGCGAACUAAAUUAAGUACUAAAGAAAACUAGACAGAAGUCUAAAAGAUAUACGAUUAGAAAUGAUACAGCUCCCAGUAUGAGCAACGCAGAAGACGGGUGAUUUCUGCAUUUCCAUCUGAGGUACCAGGUUCAUCUCAGUAGGCAGUGCCAGACAGUGGGCACAGGACAGUGGGUGCAGGGCACCGUGUGCGAGCCAAAGCAGGGCGAGGCAUAGCCUCCCUCUGGAAGCGCAAGGGGUCAGGGAGUUCCCUUUCCUAGUCAAAGAAAGGAGUGACAGACGACACCUGGGAAAUCGAGUCACUCCCACCCUAAUACUGCGAUUUUCCGAAGGGCUUAAAAAACGGCACACCAGGAGAUUAUAUCCCGCACAUGGCUUGGAGGGUCCUACGCCCACGGAGUCUCACUGAUUGCUAGCACAGCAGUCUGAGAUCAAACUGCAAGGCGGCAGUGAGGCUGGGGGAGGGGCGCCCGCCAUUGCCCAGGCUUGCUUAGGUAAACAAAGC